AUUGUUACCUCCUCUUACAGCGUUUUACUUACACUGCAAUAGCAUUAAAUUAACUUUAGUAUGAGUCAUACACGAGCAUACAUGCAGACGUGUCUGAUUACUUAAUCCAAAGCCACAUCCUCCACUCCAUGGCUGCCAAAGUGAGCCACAGGCAAGAGCUUGUAAAUAUUAUGGUCAACCUCCAGCAAAGUUUAGAUGAGGCCAAUCAAAUGUAAACAAGUGUGUCUGCACCAAUGAUAGAUAAUCUCACCAAGACCCAGGCAGAAACAACAGGAAAUGUAUUUUGGACAACGUUCACCUUGUAUCUGUUCCUGUGGCGUAUGGCAGAGCCAGUGUGGGUCAGCUUGGCUGCUCCUGGCCUCAGACUGAUCCACAGGAGGCUUCCAUGUGUGCUGCUAUUUAUUCUUUGAAUGAUGAGGAAUGUCUGUAACAGCAUUCAUGGUCCAAGCAGCUGAAAACUCCCUGCUGCAUCUCUGCAGGGUCUGAGGGUGGAUCCACUUCUGCCUUGCCCACAUGGAAGGACAGGACUUGGUGGCAAAUGUCCUCUGGGAGCUGCCAGUGUCCAGCCAGGCUGGAACUUUUGGCAGGCAUGGGACACUGGCAGUUGGGACCAGACAUCUAAACAUGCUUUUCUCUUUCAUUCAGAGAUUGCAUAGGGACUGUUUAACCUUUAGACAAAGCCUUUCCAAAUAAAAUGCUUUACCAAAAGAACAAAAUAUCAAGGAAAAAGGUAUAACAAUAUUUAGAA